CAUAGGUUAAUGAGGCGAACCGGGGGAACUGAAACAUCUAAGUACCCCGAGGAAAAGAAAUCAACCGAGAUUCCCCCAGUAGCGGCGAGCGAACGGGGAGCAGCCCAGAGCCUGAAUCAGUGUGUGUGUUAGUGGAAGCGUCUGGAAAGGCGCGCGAUACAGGGUGACAGCCCCGUACACAAAAAUGCACAUGCUGUGAGCUCGAUGAGUAGGGCGGGACACGUGGUAUCCUGUCUGAAUAUGGGGGGACCAUCCUCCAAGGCUAAAUACUCCUGACUGACCGAUAGUGAACCAGUACCGUGAGGGAAAGGCGAAAAGAACCCCGGCGAGGGGAGUGAAAAAGAACCUGAAACCGUGUACGUACAAGCAGUGGGAGCACGCUUAGGCGUGUGACUGCGUACCUUUUGUAUAAUGGGUCAGCGACUUAUAUUCUGUAGCAAGGUUAACCGAAUAGGGGAGCCGAAGGGAAACCGAGUCUUAACUGGGCGUUAAGUUGCAGGGUAUAGACCCGAAACCCGGUGAUCUAGCCAUGGGCAGGUUGAAGGUUGGGUAACACUAACUGGAGGACCGAACCGACUAAUGUUGAAAAAUUAGCGGAUGACUUGUGGCUGGGGGUGAAAGGCCAAUCAAACCGGGAGAUAGCUGGUUCUCCCCGAAAGCUAUUUAGGUAGCGCCUCGUGAAUUCAUCUCCGGGGGUAGAGCACUGUUUCGGCAAGGGGGUCAUCCCGACUUACCAACCCGAUGCAAACUACGAAUACCGGAGAAUGUUAUCACGGGAGACACACGGCGGGUGCUAACGUCCGUCGUGAAGAGGGAAACAACCCAGACCGCCAGCUAAGGUCCCAAAGUCAUGGUUAAGUGGGAAACGAUGUGGGAAGGCCCAGACAGCCAGGAUGUUGGCUUAGAAGCAGCCAUCAUUUAAAGAAAGCGUAAUAGCUCACUGGUCGAGUCGGCCUGCGCGGAAGAUGUAACGGGGCUAAACCAUGCACCGAAGCUGCGGCAGCGACGCUUAUGCGUUGUUGGGUA
rnacentral:rRNA from 1 species